CAUCGCGGCGGCCGGUGCGGCCGGGCGGCCGGUCGAGGUCCGGUCGAUCGACUUCCUCGACCCGGGCGCGUUCGACUCGUACUGCCGCGA
rnacentral:tRNA from 1 species